GAUGAACGCUGGCGGCGUGCCUAAUACAUGCAAGUCGAGCGAACGGACGAGAAGCUUGCUUCUCUGAUGUUAGCGGCGGACGGGUGAGUAACACGUGGAUAACCUACCUAUAAGACUGGGAUAACUUCGGGAAACCGGAGCUAAUACCGGAUAAUAUUUUGAACCGCAUGGUUCAAAAGUGAAAGACGGUCUUGCUGUCACUUAUAGAUGGAUCCGCGCUGCAUUAGCUAGUUGGUAAGGUAACGGCUUACCAAGGCAACGAUGCAUAGCCGACCUGAGAGGGUGAUCGGCCACACUGGAACUGAGACACGGUCCAGACUCCUACGGGAGGCAGCAGUAGGGAAUCUUCCGCAAUGGGCGAAAGCCUGACGGAGCAACGCCGCGUGAGUGAUGAAGGUCUUCGGAUCGUAAAACUCUGUUAUUAGGGAAGAACAUAUGUGUAAGUAACUGUGCACAUCUUGACGGUACCUAAUCAGAAAGCCACGGCUAACUACGUGCCAGCAGCCGCGGUAAUACGUAGGUGGCAAGCGUUAUCCGGAAUUAUUGGGCGUAAAGCGCGCGUAGGCGGUUUUUUAAGUCUGAUGUGAAAGCCCACGGCUCAACCGUGGAGGGUCAUUGGAAACUGGAAAACUUGAGUGCAGAAGAGGAAAGUGGAAUUCCAUGUGUAGCGGUGAAAUGCGCAGAGAUAUGGAGGAACACCAGUGGCGAAGGCGACUUUCUGGUCUGUAACUGACGCUGAUGUGCGAAAGCGUGGGGAUCAAACAGGAUUAGAUACCCUGGUAGUCCACGCCGUAAACGAUGAGUGCUAAGUGUUAGGGGGUUUCCGCCCCUUAGUGCUGCAGCUAACGCAUUAAGCACUCCGCCUGGGGAGUACGACCGCAAGGUUGAAACUCAAAGGAAUUGACGGGGACCCGCACAAGCGGUGGAGCAUGUGGUUUAAUUCGAAGCAACGCGAAGAACCUUACCAAAUCUUGACAUCCUUUGACAGCUCUAGAGAUAGAGCCUUCCCCUUCGGGGGACAAAGUGACAGGUGGUGCAUGGUUGUCGUCAGCUCGUGUCGUGAGAUGUUGGGUUAAGUCCCGCAACGAGCGCAACCCUUAAGCUUAGUUGCCAUCAUUAAGUUGGGCACUCUAAGUUGACUGCCGGUGACAAACCGGAGGAAGGUGGGGAUGACGUCAAAUCAUCAUGCCCCUUAUGAUUUGGGCUACACACGUGCUGCAAUGGACAAUACAAAGGGCAGCGAAACCGCGAGGUCAAGCAAAUCCCAUAAAGUUGUUCUCAGUUCGGAUUGUAGUCUGCAACUCGACUACAUGAAGCUGGAAUCGCUAGUAAUCGUAGAUCAGCAUGCUACGGUGAAUACGUUCCCGGGUCU
rnacentral:rRNA from 1 species